rnacentral:rRNA from 1 species
UACGGAGGGUGCAAGCGUUAUCCGGAAUCACUGGGUUUAAAGGGUGCGUAGGCGGCUUGAUAAGUCAGAGGUGAAAGCCCGCAGCUUAACUGCGGAACGGCAUUUGAUACUGUUGAGCUUGAAACAGGACGAGGUUGGCGGAAUGUGGCAUGCAGCGGUGAAAUGCAUAGAUAUGCCAUAGAACAUCGAUUGCGAAGGCAGCUGGCUAGAACUGAUUUGACGCUGAGGCACGAAAGCGUGGGGAGCGAACAGG